rnacentral:rRNA from 1 species
GAUGAACGCUGGCGGCGUGCUUAACACAUGUAAGUCGAACGGUGAACGAGGGAGCUUGCUCCCUCCGGAUCAGUGGCGAACGGGUGAGUAACACGUGAGCAAUCUACCCUGGACUCUGGGAUAAGCGUUGGAAACGACGUCUAAUACCGGAUACGAGACGCGAAGGCAUCUUCAGCGUCUGGAAAGAACUUCGGUCCAGGAUGAGCUCGCGGCCUAUCAGGUAGUUGGUGAGGUAACGGCUCACCAAGCCUACGACGGGUAGCCGGCCUGAGAGGGUGACCGGCCACACUGGGACUGAGACACGGCCCAGACUCCUACGGGAGGCAGCAGUGGGGAAUAUUGCACAAUGGGCGCAAGCCUGAUGCAGCAACGCCGCGUGAGGGACGACGGCCUUCGGGUUGUAAACCUCUUUUAGCAGGGAAGAAGCGAAAGUGACGGUACCUGCAGAAAAAGCACCGGCUAACUACGUGCCAGCAGCCGCGGUAAAAC